rnacentral:tRNA from 1 species
GCGAAGGUGGCGGAAUAGGUAGACGCGCUAGCUUCAGGUGUUAGUGUUCUUACGGACGUGGGGGUUCAAGUCCCCCCCCUCGCACCA